rnacentral:rRNA from 1 species
GACGAACGCUGGCGGCGUGCUUAACACAUGCAAGUCGAACGGAAAGGCCCUGCUUUUGUGGGGUGCUCGAGUGGCGAACGGGUGAGUAACACGUGAGUAACCUGCCCUUGACCUUGGGAUAACUUCAGGAAACUGGGGCUAAUACCGGAUAGGAGCUCCUGCUGCAUGGUGGGGGUUGGAAAGUUUCGGCGGUUGGGGAUGGACUCGCGGCUUAUCAGCUUGUUGGUGGGGUAGUGGCUUACCAAGGCUUUGACGGGUAGCCGGCCUGAGAGGGUGACCGGCCACAUUGGGACUGAGAUACGGCCCAGACUCCUACGGGAGGCAGCAGUGGGGAAUAUUGCACAAUGGGCGGAAGCCUGAUGCAGCAACGCCGCGUGCGGGAUGAAGGCCUUCGGGUUGUAAACCGCUUUCGCCUGUGACGAAGCGUGAGUGACGGUAAUGGGUAAAGAAGCACCGGCUAACUACGUG